UUACUGGUCGGAAGAUGUUCUCGAUUGCAGAGGAGAGGAAUCUAUCUAUCUAUCUAUCUAUCUAUCUAUCUAUCUAUCUAUCUAUCUAUCUAUAAAAGGAUAGUGGGCAGGGGUCUGCAAAAAGAGGGGUCGUGAGGGAAGAAAGAGCCCCUUCAGGAGAAGGAGGCUGCCAUUAUGUGAAUUAGAUGAGGAAACAAGAUGGACAAGAUAUGUUAACUCCGGGAGGGACAGAGAGAGAAGGAAGGAACAAACGAACGAACGAACGAACGAACGAUAGAGGGGGAAAGCAAGUGGAGGAGAGAGAAAGAGAGAGAAAGGGAGGGGAAGAGAAAAAGAAGGAAGGGUGAGGGAUGGGCCGAGCCUGUUAGUGGCCUAAGGGGAACGAGUGGUCAUGGCGGCAGGAGAAAAGAAGGGCCCAGUCAACCACUGCUGCUGUUUGGGUCAUUGGUGUAGGGAGGCAGGCAGGCAAGGGAUGGGCCCGGGCCUGUCAGCAGCCUGAGGGGAACAAGCGGCCAUGGCAGUGGCAGUAGAGAGGAAGAGCCCAGUCAGCUGCUGCUGCUGCUCCUGUGGGGAGGAGCAGGAUCAGUGCUCGGGUGAGGGUGGGGAGGUCUCUGGAGAUAGGAGGCUUCAGCUUGGCCAAGAGGCACCAGCUACGCUGCAGUCGAAACCAAGAGGGGUGAGGUGAAUAGAAGCAACCAGAUGGAGGAGGAGGAGGAGUGCAGCUCAAGUGAGGGUGGAGAGAUCUCUGAGGUGAGUGAGGCUGUGGCAGGGGGUGAGGGGAGCCAUCAAGUACUAGCGUGCAGAUACUCUGCGCAGGUUAAGCUAGUUUAAAUUAAAAAUCCAAAAGGCUUCACAUUGAAGUAAUUUAAUAGAUGGAUCUUUGCCUUUCUUACUUGAUGAAAAAAAAAAACAUUGGAAAAGAACUUUAGCUCAUCCACUCGGUGAUUGAACUCCAAAAAUGUGCAGUUAAUGGGGCCUCAAGACUGCCUGUUAUGAUUUUGCUUUUAUGUUCAAUUAUAUGGGUUUUUAAUGGUCUACUGGUUUGGCCCACAUAAAUGAGUGAACAAGGGUAAAUAAUAAUGUAGACCACUUGUGAUGUAAGGCAAUUCGUUAUCUGAUCAAAUUGCCAUUGUUAGGAUUAACAAAUUGCUUAAUUUGCACAGAAUGAACAAGAACAAUGGCCACAUCUAUAGUGUCCUAUAAAUCUGGUACUAGAAUACUGCAUUGUAAAGUGAUUGAUGUCAGAACGAACUACAUGGUCCUUCAAAUUUGAUGUUCUAUGAAAGCCCUUUCCUGAUAGUAUAUCACAAUCUGGAAGAUCUUGGACUAUAUGCCAAUGUCUCUUAAUUAUUAUUAUUUAUUCGAUUUCUAUACCACCCUUCCAAAAAUGGCUUAGGGCAGCUUGCACAGAGAAAUAAUAAAUAAAUAAGAUGGAUCUCUGUCCCCAAAGGGCUCACAAUCUAAAAGAAACAUAAGACAGACACCGGCAACAGUCACUGGAGGUCCUGUGCCAGUUGGAUAGGGCCAGUUACUCUCCCCCUGCUAAAUAAAGAGAAUCACCACAUUAAAAGGUGCCUCUUUGCCAAGUUAGCAGGGGCUUAAUGAUCUGUUUAAUUAAAUUAGCUAGGGGGCUACACUCCAUGGAACAAACAAUUUGGACUGGACAACAGAAGGUUUGUUUUCAGACAAUAUGUGUCUGACUAUCCCUUCUGUCUGUCUCACAGCCAAGUCUGUAGUAUGUUGGGGAAAACCCCUGUUUUUUAACCCCUGGGAAUAUGUCUCCCUUUGUUUUUUAAAUAUAUUAGCACUUGUACAGUUUCUUUUUGAUCUUAAAAACUAUCCAAAAGGAAUCUUAUCUUUGAUAUGUCUAGGAUGGAAACUUUUAUAGUGUACGAUGGAAAGUCUAUCCAUAGGUUUACAGUAUCUUCUCACCAAAAUGUUAUAGGCCUCUUUGCACACAGUAAUGUCUAAAAAUGAAAUAGAAUUAUCAUUGACAUGUCCAGUGAAUCUUAUAUGUGGAUCAAUCAAAUGAAUCCAAUCCAAAAAGGAAGGUAUAAGACAAUCAGAUUGGACAAUAAUGAACAUAUCAUCUAUAAAUCUGCCAUAAUAUAGAAAAUCAUUCUUGUAAGGAUUGGUGCCUUCAUUUAAAAUGAUGUUGGUCUCCAAAUGGGCCAUAUGUAAGUUAACAAUGCUGGGAGCAACUGGGCUACCCAUAGCAACCCAUCGCAAAGUAAGGGAAGGAAGAUAUGCAGGGAUUUGUUAUCAUGUGUUCAGGUGGUAGUUGUGAAAUUGCUUCCCACUGCCUCCACCCCCCCACCAGUCCUGGUCCCUAUCGUAACUUCUGCUUCCUCCCUGGCACUUGAGUACUAUGUAGUGUCACUGCUGCCAUCUUUGUCACACUGCCAUUUUAAAGAUAUGUGUACCUGGAAAGAGGGUAGUGGUGCCUGUGGUGUUCUUGGUUAAUCCAUUCCUUGAUCCAGGUCAGCUUUUGAAUGGGGCUUUAGUUACUUGUAUUCUAGUCCUGGAGUAGAGGCGAGCAGGGGCAGAGCGAGGCCAGCGGCAACCCGGGUCCAGCCCACCGCCCUGGCCCCCUGUGUCUAAUGGCAGAUGUUGAUAAGCCACUCAUCCUGCAUCUGAUGUCAGGCAGGGAGAGUUGCUCCUGGCUGCACUGUGAACAUGGUGCUGGUUUAGCUUACAAAUGGAGUUGUGCGACCCUGUUUGCAAGCACAAUCCCCGGGCAGCGCCACGUUCACAGCAUGGCCCCUUUUGCAAGCAAAGCUACGCCCCCUACACAGGGGGCAGGGCUGGGACACCAGGCAUGGCCCCUGAUUGGCGGUGGCCCGGGUUCUUCAAACCCAUUCAUUCAAUGGUGGCUCUGCCCCUGGAGGCGGGGUUAACAAACAGCCAGUAGCAAGAGCACUGAAGUCAGCCUGCACUUGCCUCUCUGUCAUAAUAUCUAUUCCAUUAAACUAUUAAUAUUCCUGAUUCCACCCCAGUACUCUCUCCCUUGGAUUUUACAAUGAAAGGAUGAGGGUUAAGACCUUGUGGGGAACUGGCAGGAUGUAGCAACUCAUACGGCUUAGGCUAGAGUUGGAAAGCAGGGAAUCGUUUCUAUGAGACUUCCUUCCUUCCUUCCUUCCUCACAGUUAGAGACCCAAGUUCAAAACUUCAGUUGGCUGAUCUGGGUCUUAACUGAAACUACAUGCGUAACAUUAGCAGUUAUUUGCAUCAAAUAACUAAAUACUAAAUGAGAUAAUUUUUCCCCCUCUUCAACCUAAGCUUUAUAGAUUUGAGUAUGAUUUAUAAAAUGCCACAUGCAAUGCAAAAAGAAACUGCACUGGGAAAUCUAAUUCAAAACCCAUUUCAUGUUUUUCUAUUAAUUUCUGCUGACAUUGGAUUAGGCCCUUUGUCAGUAUUAUCCUUAAUUCUAAGAGGUAGCAUUAUGCUAUGGAAAAAGUCUGCACUGCUUUUGUAAAGGCUUUUGUCUUGUUAGUGAAAAGAAGCCGAGGAUUCAAAGCUAAAGCCCCUAGUUUUGUAUAAAACAAAGAAAUGAUCCAUCUGGGCAUAUCACAGAGAACACAUUAAGGAGCUAAAGCUUACAGCACCACUGAAUGAUCAUGAAAUUUCUGAAAGCUGUUGACACUAAAGGGAUACUUGUUAAUCUUCUAUAUAUGCCUAGCUCUCCAGUUCACAUGAUUCUACUUUAGCAUGAGUUUACAGAGAUAAUACAAGGCCCAACUACACAUGACACAAAAAUGCACAAGGCACUGUUCUUGUAGACAUAUCUACGAUAUGGAGAUAGUAAUGUAGACCUACCUUCUUAGAUUAUUGGGAGGACUACUGAAAUAAUGUAAGUGAAAAUUUUUGAACUCUCUAAAAUGCUACUGAAUUGCGAAGUAUUAUUAUCUAAGUGUAUGCUUCAUUCUCCAAUUGAAUUUAGUUGAGGUCCAUUAUGAUCUUGGAGAUAUUAUUUGUAAUUAGAGGAACUGUGGUGAGCUUUAAACAAUAUGUACUUCCUCCAAAGGCAUUCCACUGAGCUCUGCUUCAGUACCCUGAGAAAAGCAAUGCCCUUGAAGUACCGUAAUUGUAUGACUGCAAAUUUACACCAUAACCCUAGAAGGGUAAUUCUAAAUUCUGGUGUUCUCUGCUGGAAUUCAUAAGACUGUACCUGAAGGUUCUGUGUCCAGGACAAAGAAUUGGAGUGUGCAUGAACCAUGGUCCAUGUAGCGGUUCACCGGUUUGUGGUUCUGUGAACCAGUUCAUUCUGGUUCAACCCAACCAUGAUUUGAGGGUGGUGCUAGGCGGGGUGGGGGUGGCACGAGUGGCACCUUUAAAAGGUUCUUUCAUGCAUGACUGCCGCUCCAUGCAGCUUCCUGCUGUGGCAGUGCUCUACCUAGCAGCCCACGCAUGGCGGAAGCACAGUGCAUGCAUGAAAGCCAUUUGCAUGGUCAGCAUGAUGUUGCUGACCACACAAAUGACUUCCAUGCCUGCUUCAGAGAAUACAGCAGGCUUCCAUGCACCCAAGCUAGAAAAAAUUCCCUGUCCUACUGUUGGCCUAGUAGCAAGCAUGCUGUUGGCCUAGUAGCAAGUUGUUCAUGUUGCACAGUGAUUCCUUGAUUUAGAAAGAAUUAAAGAAGAAGCUUAACUUUAGUUGCAGAAACAUCUUCAUUAUUUAUUAUUUCUUAACACUUGCUAACAAAGUAACAGAUGCUUCUGUAAGAGGGAGAGAGAGAAACCAACUGAACUGAUAAGACAUCCAGUCAACAGAACUGAAGACUGACUCCAACCCUAGGACCCAACAUAGAGACUUACAUACAGAGGAACUGCUGAGGAAGGGAUUCAGAUUGGCACCACUGUGAAGGAAGAGAGGAUUUAAGCAUUGGCCACACCAUUUGCAAAAGUGAAUGAUGAUCAUUUGCCCCAGAAGAAGAGCUCCCAUUGGUGGCAAAAUUAAGUACAAAGAAGACAAGCACAUCAACUGUAAUGAGAUGUAUGAGUUUCAAACAAAAGUCUUCAACCAACAGUUCAAACAAACAAUUUGCCUCUUCUUUUUUCUGGGCAGCAUUCACUUGAAACAGCUUGUCAGGACAGUGCAUUGUGAAUCUUCCUACCAUCAGCACUAACUCUGGAAUAUUAUGAAAGAAAGACCCUUUCAUAGCACCUGGUGCAAAAGUGUUCAACAUAACUUCUGUGAUAUGGCUUUGUCUGGGAAUUAUCCUAGGAAACAACUGACAACAUUUGUAUGAAAACCCUUAAGACACAUUAACAAAGCUCUUAAUGAUAUCUAGCUAUACUGUUAUCCUAUAUAAUAAAAGGCUAAGUGAGUGGCCGUGGCUUUGGAACGUUGGGGAUCUGCGUCCCUGCCUCCCUGGGCUGUUCUGGGCCUGCGCGAAGCGCAGGCCCAGAAGAGCCCAAGGGACACAGGACCUCAGAAACCAGUGUCCCACAGCCACGGGCGGCCAUUAGCCGGUGUGUGGCGGCGGGGGAAAGUGGCCGAGGCGGCGGCGGAGCCGCCGCCUCAGCCAUGAGCUGCGGCACAGCGAGAGGAGGCCGAGGCAACCAGAAGCGGCCGCCCUGAAAAAGGCGAGGGCAAUGGCGGCGGGGGAAGACCGAGACGGGGGACAGGGAAGCUGGGCAAGGUGGCGGUGAAGCCGCCAACGAGGCCCCCGCCCGCUCACAGCCGUCGCCGCCGCCUGCUCACCCGCCCUCCCAGCUGCCCAAAAUGAAGCUGGGCGAGGUGGCGGCGAAGCCGCCAACGAGGCCCCCGCCCACUCACAGCCGCCGCCGCCUGCUCACCCGCCCUCCCAGCUGCCCAAAAUCACCUUCCCCGCUCCCCCCCAAAAAAGA